CAGUCGCCGCGGGAAUACGGAGGGAGCUAGCGUUGUUCGGAAUUACUGGGCGUAAAGCGCACGUAGGCGGAUAUUUAAGUCAGGGGUGAAAUCCCGCAGCUCAACUGCGGAACUGCCUUUGAUACUGGGUAUCUUGAGUAUGGAAGAGGUUAGUGGAAUUGCGAGUGUAGAGGUGAAAUUCGUAGAUAUUCGCAGGAACACCAGUGGCGAAGGCGGCUAACUGGUCCAUAACUGACGCUGAGGUGCGAAAGCGUGGGGAGCAAACAGGAUUAGAUACCCCUGUAGUCCCUGUCUCUUAUAC
rnacentral:rRNA from 1 species